rnacentral:rRNA from 1 species
CGUCAAAGCUUAAUUUUUUACCUAUUUUAUAAUACACUAAAUUACUAAAAACCCCUCAACAGUACUAAAUAAUCCUAUAACACUAUAGGACUCUUUAUGUUAAAACUAGUAACAAGAAAAACCUUCUCUUAUAUGCAAGUGUAAAUCAGAAUAGAAACACUACUGAUACCUAACAAACUUAAUUCAAAGUACUAACCUACUUAGAGAAAUCUACUUAUUUAAUUGUUAACCUAACACAAGAGCAUAAAAAGAAAGAUUAUAAGAAAAAGAAGGAACUCGGCAAACUUUGAUUCCGCCUGUUUACCAAAAACAUCGCCUCCUGUUACCUAUAGGAGGUCCAGCCUGCCCGGUGACCCAGUUUAACGGCCGCGGUAUCCUAACCGUGCGAAGGUAGCGUAAUCACCUGUUUUUUAAUUGAAGACCUGUAUGAAAGGCGUCACGAGAAUCGUACUGUGUCCUUUUUCUAAUCAGUGAAACUAAUCUCCCCGUGAAAAAGCGGAAAUACAAAUACAAGACGAGAAGACCCUUUGGAGCUUAAGACAAAGUAACGUCUUGCAUCCUCCACUUAACCUAUAUAUUUAAGCACUCACGCUACAAGUCUUCGGUUGGGGCAACCGCGGAGUAAAAUAAACCCUCCAAGUUGAACGGAAUUUUCCUAAGCAAAAAACCACAACUUUAUGCAUCAAUAAAUUGACAUCAUGACCCAAUAUUUUGAUUAUCGAACCAAGUUACCCUAGGGAUAACAGCGCAAUCCACUUCAAGAGUUCAUAUCGACAAGUGGGCUUACGACCUCG